CCUACGGGAGGCAGCAGUGGGGAAUAUUGGACAAUGGGGGCAACCCUGAUCCAGCCAUGCCGCGUGAGUGAAGAAGGCCUUCGGGUUGUAAAGCUCUUUCAGAUGCGAAGAUGAUGACGGUAACAUCAGAAGAAGCCCCGGCUAAUUUCGUGCCAGCAGCCGCGGUAAUACGAAAGGGGCAAGCGUUGUUCGGAUUUACUGGGCGUAAAGGGCACGCAGGCGGUCUUGCCAGUCAGGGGUGAAAGCCCGGGGCUCAACCCCGGAACUGCCUCUGAUACUGCAAGACUAGAGACUAGGAGAGGGUGGUGGAAUUCCCAGUGUAGAGGUGAAAUUCGUAGAUAUUGGGAGGAACACCAGAGGCGAAGGCGGCCACCUGGACUAGAUCUGACGCUCAGGUGCGAAAGCGUGGGGAGCAAACAGGAUUAGAUACCCUAGUAGUC
rnacentral:rRNA from 1 species